UUAAUUUCAAUUGUUGGAUUGUUUGAUUUAUGUUAAUUGUUGAAUUUUCUUGUGGGAGGUUCAUGUGUGAUGAUAUGCAAUGUAUACAAUGAUCCAAAAAGAAGGGAUUAUACCUUCCAAUAGGUUGGUCUUGGUGGUGAAUGAACAAGAAUGUGUAAUGUGAGGAGUUAGAGAAGAGCAUAAAUUGAGAAGUGGUGGUGACUCUUGGUUUGUGGGCAUUGAUGGUGGAAGAUAGAAGGUGAAGGAGUUGGAGAAGAUGAAAAGUGGAAAGUCUCCAUGGGUGGAGGGGGAAGGAAUCGGCCAUAUGUGUGAGGAAGAAGACAAACAUUUUUGGGCUUGUUCCCAAUUGUUUGGAAAGAAGAAUUGGACUCCCAAAUUAAAUUAAUUGAUUUGGGCUCAUUAAGUUGCAAGCCCAAUUUGUAUAAUUAUUUAGUUGGUCAUGGCCCCAAGCCAUUUAAAAGAAACAUUUGGACUCUACUUUUAAUUUGAGAAA